UUUUGCGAAAACUUACCUUUGAUGACUUUCGUCCUUUAAGAAUCGCCAUUUUGUACUGCUUUGUUCCUGCUUCAAACAAAGGAAAAUUGUGAGUUUUAGAAGUGGUGGUUAGUUUGUGGCCUUGAUGUCUUUGGCAGCUUGGCUUUGUUCCCAUUUGUUUCAGGAAGACCGACUGUAUUGGUAGUUGGCUACACUGCUGGUAGACUCUGUUAUUGCUUUCAAGAGACUUUUGCUCUCUGUACCAACCCUGAUUGUGUUUGUGGCUCAAUCAGCCUUAUCCCAACUAGAGAUCUUUGCUUAGGUGACCUUUUCUGAUAUCUUGAAUAACUUCUUGCUUUUAGAGCAAUUUGUUUGUCAGAGAGAAUCGCAACUGGGUAUGUGCCUUUUGCGUGAUGUGCACACUUCAUAGUCUCUGUCCAGUACUACAGGGAACCCGUAAUCAAUCUUGCAAUCUUUUCUUUGCUUGUUUUUGACAAGUAGGCAGACAUAAAUAUCUUUCGGGGAACCUUUGUAUAGCACGAAUCCUCAAGACUUGUCGACUGUAACAACUAUGUGUGCUUGUUACUUCUCUGAUAAUGUUAUCUUGAAUGUUCAAGCGAGAAUUUGCUUUGUGAAACUAAAAAGCUGGUAGCAGAUUUUGAAAUCCUUUCUUACUUGUUUUGACAAGGACUGACUCAAAGCAAAGGAUAUAAUGAUGGGAAGAAACAAUAUUUACAAGAGAUUCCUUCAUGAGGAAGGAAAGAAGGAAGAAUUUAUAUAUAUAUAUAUAUAUAUAUAUGGAAGAGGCUUUGUUUGUUUUUUUAAUUUUUUAUUUUUUGAAUGAGGUAACUAGCCUUAAUGAUCAUGACAUGCAUUUUGGACUCAACGGCCUGAUAUAUAUAUAUAUAUAUAUAUAUAUGGAAGAGACUUUUUUUUUUUUGAAUGAGGUAAGUAGCCUUAAUGAUCAUGACAUGCAUUUUGGACUCAACGGCCUGAUCUAUUAAACUGAUCUAAUCAUUCCUUCCGUUAUUCCUUCGGGCCUUGAAGUCGUGCUUGUUUGUAUUAAUUCUUUGCAUCAGUUUCACGACUUACUUUCGACUAGUGGUGCCCCGAGAUAUUUUCAUCGACAAGUCUCUCUCAUUUAUUUAUCUCUAUUUACAGUCGUCUUACAGUGCCUGUGAGGGUUUUUACUAGUAAGACUCUCUCAUUUAUUUAUCUCUACUUACCGUCGUUUUACAGUGCCUGUGAGGGUUUUCACUAAUAAGAAUCUCUCAUUUUUUUUUUCUUUUUUUUUCUUUUCUUGAUUCCUUGAGUGAGAACGAUGACCAUGUCCUCCAUAUGACAUCCAUUGCUCAUUGCGGAUUUCCAUUGGCAUUCUCAAAACAGAUCAGGAGGUCUUGUUUGGAAGGCUUUUGGAUAUAGUUAGAAAGAAAGGACUACAUGAAGGCUUAAAGUAGACUCAAUAUGAUGGGUUUUACAUUUACAACUCUUGGAAUCGAUUAUUUUAAAAAAAAAACUAAAACAAACUCAUGCCCCAGUUUUAGAUACUGGAUUUUUUGUUUAUUUUUAAUUUUUGGAGUUCUUAUUUAGUUGGACCGAACCGUGUAAGGCUGCCUACGUAUCCCUUUUUCUAAGGAGUCAGGUCAAACGUAAUUCAAACAUCUGACCUAACUAUUUUUUUUAUCUUUCUUUUUCCUUUUUUCUUUUUCUCUUUUUCUUCUUUUCUUUUUUUUUUUUCCUUUUUUUUUCAAAAUAAGUUUCCCCAACUUUUAUUUCCUUGGGGCAUGGAUCUUUGACUGUUCUUUUCUUAUUCUUUUUUUUCACUUGAACUUUUUAAGAGUUUCCCCAGUUUGUACUCUUGGGGCAUGAACUUUUCUUUUUAUUUUUUUUUAUUUCNUUUUN
rnacentral:lncRNA from 1 species